CUUGGCAUGACUUUUAAAAAUAAGAGAAUAACGGACAGACUUGAUACUUACCUCUAAAGCGUCUAGGUGACGUAUAUUCUUGCUUCCACAAUUAUUCCUCUAUAUAUCGGCUAUGUCUAAGGCUAUGAUGAUCUCUAAUAUCUAUGGUAAUGCUUCUUAGAGUCAUUGAGAUUUUACGUUUCCAUAUUGUAUUAAAGGUUCAUAAUCUUGAUAAAACAUUAAUCUUUGGUAAUACUCCUUGCUGGUUCACGUUGAUUGUUCUAUUGAGUUAUAAGAAAUGAUUUUAAUUGCAUAUGGUUGCUCAUAAUAUUCUGCUCGUGCAUAGAGUCAUUUAUCAUUUCACCGAGUCCCGGGCCGGGUAAUGUUCGUGCGGAGUUUCUUGCAUAUGUCACCGAGUUCCUCACUAGAGGGCCGGGUAUGUAUAUUAUAUAUAUGAUUGGUGAUGAGGAUGGUUAUGAUGAUGAUGAUGACGGAGAUGACGUGAUGAUUAUUUUGCCGAGCCCCUUACUAGGGAAGCUGGGCACCUUAAAUGUUAAAUAUAUGCAUGAUUUUCACUUAAAAGGUAUAUGUGUAGCGAUAUUUUGUUUCGACUUGCCAUAUUAGUAU
rnacentral:lncRNA from 1 species